rnacentral:rRNA from 1 species
UUUGGUUAAGUUAGAAAGGGCGCACGGUGGAUGCCUUGACACUAGGAGUCGAUGAAGGACGGGACUAACGCCGAUAUGCUUCGGGGAGCUGUAAGUAAGCUUUGAUCCGAAGAUUUCCGAAUGGGGAAACCCACCAUACGUAAUGGUAUGGUAUCCUUAUCUGAAUACAUAGGGUAAGGAAGACAGACCCAGGGAACUGAAACAUCUAAGUACCUGGAGGAAGAGAAAGCAAAUGCGAUUUCCUGAGUAGCGGCGAGCGAAACGGAACAUAGCCCAAACCAAGAGGCUUGCCUCUUGGGGUUGUAGGACAUUCUAUACGGAGUUACAAAGGAAUGAGGUAGACGAAGCGACCUGGAAAGGUCCGUCGUAGAGGGUAACAACCCCGUAGUCGAAACUUCGUUCUCUCUUGAAUGUAUCCUGAGUACGGCGGAACACGUGAAAUUCCGUCGGAAUCUGGGAGGACCAUCUCCCAAGGCUAAAUACUCCCUAGUGAUCGAUAGUGAACCAGUACCGUGAGGGAAAGGUGAAAAGCACCCCGGAAGGGGAGUGAAAGAGAUCCUGAAACCGUGUGCCUACAAAUAGUCAGAGCCCGUUAACGGGUGAUGGCGUGCCUUUUGUAGAAUGAACCGGCGAGUUACGAUCCCGUGCGAGGUUAAGCUGAAGAGGCGGAGCCGCAGCGAAAGCGAGUCUGAAUAGGGCGUUUAGUACGUGGUCGUAGACCCGAAACCAGGUGAUCUACCCAUGUCCAGGGUGAAGUUCAGGUAACACUGAAUGGAGGCCCGAACCCACGCAUGUUGAAAAGUGCGGGGAUGAGGUGUGGGUAGCGGAGAAAUUCCAAUCGAACCUGGAGAUAGCUGGUUCUCCCCGAAAUAGCUUUAGGGCUAGCCUUAAGUGUAAGAGUCUUGGAGGUAGAGCACUGAUUGGACUAGGGGUCCUCAUCGGAUUACCGAAUUCAGUCAAACUCCGAAUGCCAAUGACUUAUCCUUAGGAGUCAGACUGCGAGUGAUAAGAUCCGUAGUCAAAAGGGAAACAGCCCAGACCGCCAGCUAAGGUCCCAAAGUGUGUAUUAAGUGGAAAAGGAUGUGGAGUUGCUUAGACAACUAGGAUGUUGGCUUAGAAGCAGCCACCAUUUAAAGAGUGCGUAAUAGCUCACUAGUCGAGUGACUCUGCGCCGAAAAUGUACCGGGGCUAAAUACACCACCGAAGCUGCGGAUUGAUACCAAUGGUAUCAGUGGUAUCAGUGGUAGGGGAGCGUUCUAAGGACAGUGAAGUCAGACCGGAAGGACUGGUGGAGUGCUUAGAAGUGAGAAUGCCGGUAUGAGUAGCGAAAGACGGGUGAGAAUCCCGUCCACCGAAUGCCUAAGGUUUCCUGAGGAAGGCUCGUCCGCUCAGGGUUAGUCAGGACCUAAGCCGAGGCCGACAGGCGUAGGCGAUGGACAACAGGUUGAUAUUCCUGUACCACCUCUUUAUCGUUUGAGCAAUGGAGGGCCGCAGAAGGAUAGAAGAAGCGUGCGAUUGGUUGUGCACGUCCAAGCAGUUAGGCUGAUAAGUAGGCAAAUCCGCUUAUCGUGAAGGCUGAGCUGUGAUGGGGAAGCUCCUUAUGGAGCGAAGUCUUUGAUUCCCCGCUGCCAAGAAAAGCUUCUAGCGAGAUAAAAGGUGCCUGUACCGCAAACCGACACAGGUAGGCGAGGAGAGAAUCCUAAGGUGUGCGAGAGAACUCUGGUUAAGGAACUCGGCAAAAUGACCCCGUAACUUCGGGAGAAGGGGUGCUUUCUUAACGGAAAGCCGCAGUGAAUAGGCCCAAGCGACUGUUUAGCAAAAACACAGCUCUCUGCGAAGCCGUAAGGCGAAGUAUAGGGGGUGACACCUGCCCGGUGCUGGAAGGUUAAGGAGAGGGGUUAGCGUAAGCGAAGCUCUGAACUGAAGCCCCAGUAAACGGCGGCCGUAACUAUAACGGUCCUAAGGUAGCGAAAUUCCUUGUCGGGUAAGUUCCGACCCGCACGAAAGGUGUAACGAUUUGGGCACUGUCUCAACCAGAGACUCGGUGAAAUUAUAGUACCUGUGAAGAUGCAGGUUACCCGCGACAGGACGGAAAGACCCCGUGGAGCUUUACUGUAGCCUGAUAUUGAAUUUUGGUACAGUUUGUACAGGAUAGGCGGGAGCCUUUGAAACCGGAGCGCUAGCUUCGGUGGAGGCGCUGGUGGGAUACCGCCCUGACUGUAUUGAAAUUCUAACCUACGGGUCUUAUCGACCCGGGAGACAGUGUCAGGUGGGCAGUUUGACUGGGGCGGUCGCCUCCUAAAGUGUAACGGAGGCGCCCAAAGGUUCCCUCAGAAUGGUUGGAAAUCAUUCGUAGAGUGCAAAGGCAUAAGGGAGCUUGACUGCGAGAACUACAAGUCGAGCAGGGACGAAAGUCGGGCUUAGUGAUCCGGUGGUUCCGCAUGGAAGGGCCAUCGCUCAACGGAUAAAAGCUACCCCGGGGAUAACAGGCUUAUCUCCCCCAAGAGUCCACAUCGACGGGGAGGUUUGGCACCUCGAUGUCGGCUCAUCGCAUCCUGGGGCUGUAGUCGGUCCCAAGGGUUGGGCUGUUCGCCCAUUAAAGCGGUACGCGAGCUGGGUUCAGAACGUCGUGAGACAGUUCGGUCCCUAUCCGUCGUGGGCGUAGGAAAUUUGAGAGGAGCUGUCCUUAGUACGAGAGGACCGGGAUGGACGCACCGCUGGUGUACCAGUUGUUCUGCCAAGGGCAUAGCUGGGUAGCUAUGUGCGGAAGGGAUAAGUGCUGAAAGCAUCUAAGCAUGAAGCCCCCCUCAAGAUGAGAUUUCCCAUAGCGUAAGCUAGUAAGAUCCCUGAAAGAUGAUCAGGUUGAUAGGUUCGAGGUGGAAGCAUGGUGACAUGUGGAGCUGACGAAUACUAAUAGAUCGAGGACUUAACCAUAUAA